rnacentral:rRNA from 1 species
GACGAACGCUGGCGGCGUGCUUAACACAUGCAAGUCGAACGGUAAGGCCCUUCGGGGUACACGAGUGGCGAACGGGUGAGUAACACGUGGGUGAUCUGCCCUGCACUUCGGGAUAAGCCUGGGAAACUGGGUCUAAUACCGGAUAGGACCACUGCCUGCAUGGGUGGUGGUGGAAAGCUUUUGCGGUGUAGGAUGGGCCCGCGGCCUAUCAGCUUGUUGGUGGGGUGAUGGCCUACCAAGGCGACGACGGGUAGCCGGCCUGAGAGGGUGACCGGCCACACUGGGACUGGGAUACGGCCCAGACUCCUACGGGAGGCAGCAGUGGGAAUAUUGCACAAUGGGCGCAAGCCUGAUGCAGCGACGCCGCGUGAGGGGUGACGGCCUUCGGGUUGUAAACCUCUUUCAGCACCGACGAAGCGCAAGUGACGGUAGGUGCAGAAGAAGGACCGGCCAACUACGUGCCAGCCGCCGCCGUAA